AUUGAACGCUGGCGGCGUGCUUAACACAUGCAAGUCGAACGGUGAAAGAGAGCUUGCUCUCUGGAUCAGUGGCGAACGGGUGAGUAACACGUGAGCAAUCUGCCCCUGACUCUGGGAUAAGCGCUGGAAACGGCGUCUAAUACCGGAUACGAGCUGCGAAGGCAUCUUCAGCAGCUGGAAAGAACUUCGGUCAGGGAUGAGCUCGCGGCCUAUCAGCUAGUUGGUGAGGUAAUGGCUCACCAAGGCGUCGACGGGUAGCCGGCCUGAGAGGGUGACCGGCCACACUGGGACUGAGAAACGGCCCAGACUCCUACGGGAGGCAGCAGUGGGGAAUAUUGCACAAUGGGCGCAAGCCUGAUGCAGCAACGCCGCGUGAGGGACGACGGCCUUCGGGUUGUAAACCUCUUUUAGCAGGGAAGAAGCGAAAGUGACGGUACCUGCAGAAAAAGCACCGGCUAACUACGUGCCAGCCGCCGCCGUAAUAC
rnacentral:rRNA from 1 species